rnacentral:rRNA from 1 species
AUUGAACGCUGGCGGCAUGCUUUACACAUGCAAGUCGAACGGUAACAGGCCGCAAGGUGCUGACGAGUGGCGAACGGGUGAGUAAUGCAUCGGAACGUGCCCAGUCGUGGGGGAUAACGCAGCGAAAGCUGUGCUAAUACCGCAUACGAUCUAUGGAUGAAAGCGGGGGACCGUAAGGCCUCGCGCGAGUGGCGCGGGCGAUGUCAGAUUAGGUAGUUGGUGGGGUAAAGGCCUACCAAGCCGACGAUCUGUAGCUGGUCUGAGAGGACGACCAGCCACACUGGGACUGAGACAAGGCCCAGAGUCCUACGGGAGGCAGCAGUGGGGAAUUUUGGACAAUGGGCGCAAGCCUGAUCCAGCAAUGCCGCGUGCAGGAAGAAGGCCUUCGGGUUGUAAACUGCUUUUGUACGGAGCGAAACGGUCUGGGUUAAUACCCUGGGCUAAUGACGGUACCGUAAGAAUAAGCACCGGCUAACUACGUGCCAGCAGCCGCCGUAAUAC